rnacentral:misc_RNA from 1 species
GUGUAUAUUCCCCUGUCUGAGGAGAUUAUCGGCGAUUCUGAAAUAGUACCGGAGAGGAAUUCGAUCAUCGACCUCGACUUUCCGAGCGAUUUUGUUGACGUCGAUCUUCAUCUUCUUCACCGGCGAUAUAUGGCCGAUUCCCACGAUUCCGAUGCGUUUCGGCGGAGCUAACACGUGUCCGAUGAACAAAGGUUCCUAAGAAGGAAGAAGGAGGCACCAAUGUCUCGACGUGCGAUCUAAGGAAACGAAUGUCCGUCGUUUUGAAGAGUGAGAAAAG